rnacentral:rRNA from 1 species
UACAGAGGUCCCAAGCGUUGUUCGGAUUCACUGGGCGUAAAGGGUGCGUAGGUGGCGAGGUAAGUCGGAUGUGAAAUCUCCGAGCUCAACUCGGAAAUGGCAUUGGAAACUACCUUGCUCGAGGGUUGGAGGGGGACUGGAAUACUUGGUGUAGCAGUGAAAUGCGUAGAUAUCAAGUGGAACACCAGUGGCGAAGGCGAGUCCCUGGACAACUCCUGACACUGAGGCACGAAAGCUAGGGGAGCAAACAGG